GUCAGGAUGGCCGAGUGGUCUAAGGCGCCAGACUCAAGUUCUGGCCCUCUAACGAGGGCGUGGGUUCAAAUCCCACUUCUGACA
rnacentral:tRNA from 1 species